rnacentral:rRNA from 1 species
CGAACAAACGCUGGCGGCGUGUCUUAAGCAUGCAAGUUGAGCGGCAAGGAGGAGAGAUCCUCCCUAGAGCGGCGGACUGGUGAGUAACGCGUGGGUAAUCUAUCGUAGGCAUGGGGAUAGUCACUAGAAAUAGUGGGUAAUACCGCAUACGCCCUGAGGGGGAAAGCGGGGGAUUCUUCGGAACCUCGCGCGAUUGGAGCGGCCGAUGUCGGAUUAGCUAGUAGGUGAGGUAAAGGCUCACCUAGGCGACGAUCCGUAGCGGGUCUGAGAGGAUGAUCCGCCACACUGGGACUGAGACACGGCCCAGACUCCUACGGGAGGCAGCAGUGGGGAAUUUUGGACAAUGGGCGCAAGCCUGAUCCAGCCAUGCCGCGUGAGUGAAGAAGGCCUUCGGGUUGUAAAGCUCUUUCGGCCGGGAAGAAAUCGUGGUCUCUAACAUAGGCCAUGGAUGACGGUACCGGACUAAGAAGCACCGGCUAACUACGUG